CUCCGGCUGGAGCUCCCUCUGCACGGCAUAAUGGGAUCUGCUGAUAGCUGGGCCUCUUCUAGCUCUGCCUGAUUUCAGAUCCACUUUCAAUCAAUAAGAACCCUUUUAAAAUCAGGCAAAAUCUGACCCUGAAAGGCAGUUCAGCCCAUCGGCGAAGUAGAUCAGUUCCAUCCAGAGUGCAGACUGUUUUGCAGGUACUGAUGAAAAAAUACUAUACAAAGACCAGCGUCUGUUUUUGCAAUGUAUUUCACUAAUUCUUCGUGUUCGGUGAUAUAUUAAUAAUUAUUUGCUGUUUUUCUCCAGGAAAGAAAGCAGGACAAUUGCUCUGAGUCAUGACUGAUGCAAUCUGGAUACUGCAAGGUUCUCUUCUGCUCCUCUGAAGCUCCAAAACUUUGUGCUUAGAGCGGCAGAGCCAGAGGUCAGCAGCACCACGGGGCCAGGUGAUGCUUGCAGUGCUCAUCCCCUGGCUGUUGCAGCUGCAUCCUGUGCAUCACUGAGAGGCAAUGUCAGCGGGAAGGUGAGCAGAGAGAGAGAAGGUGGAAACUCUCCGGCUUCUCACAAGUCCCACAGAGCAUCAUUUGUGGACAAACAUGUCUGAGUUGCCUCUUACUACCUUGUUAUUUGUGUACUAUCAUUAACUCUUUAUUUUAAAUAUUAAAGAUAUUUUCUCCUAGAAAUAUGGUGUUGGUUCAAAUAUUUGGUAGGUAUUUCUGAACUGCAUUUGCAAUUUGCAACACUUCAGGCUGUGUCUUACCACUUCAUUGAAACAGCAGAACUGAAAUAAGUGCUUAUAUGGCUAAUCAACACAAUCUUCCCUAAACUUGUAAACGAUGUACGCAGCCCUCUCCUCCUACUUCAGGAAGCUGUAAGAAGUGGUAUGGGCAAAUAGCUGGUCUCUGCUUCUCUUCGUAGGCAGGAGACGUGGCAGGAGGUCUGCCACAUAGGCACACCACAUGGCAAGUACUGUUCACGUACUCAGCUCUGGCUCCUGAUGCUCAACAAAAGCCAAGCAGUGCUGAGCUUCCUGCC
rnacentral:lncRNA from 1 species